rnacentral:rRNA from 1 species
UACAACUCUGAGCGGUGGAUCACUCGGCUCGUGUGUCGAUGAAGAGCGCAGCCAACUGUGUGAAUUAAUGUGAACUGCAUACUGCUUUGAACAUCGACAYUUC